UUGUCCUCAAACUCAACUCUGUCUCUGUAAAACAGGAAUAAAAACCCCCGCGUGGCACAGAGGGUUUCACGAUGACACCUGAGGCUAAGCUCAGGCAGAGCCUCGUAAAGCAUCACAGACAUUGGAGGUACUGGCGGUGUUUCUGUUGCUGUUGCUUUCCGACUUCCGUUUUCUGUAUUCUCUGCCUCCUCUCCCGCCGAGCAGGCCCACCAUGCCGGCCUCCUGAGCCCUGGAUGUAGCUCAGUGGCCUAUGGGGUCCCAGUCCCCGAGUCCUGUCCACUCUUUCUGCCCAGUGCCUCCUGCUCUUCUAUGCCCAGGGCAAGUAGGGGCUGUGCUCUGGCUUGUCUUUACACACAUACGAGGUGGCAGAGAUUCCUGUUACGGAAUCUCCACCCCACUCUGUCUCUUUAGCAGGGACCAGAAGCUGGGGUGCAAGACGGAGCUAAGAGUCAGCAUUUGGGGCAGAUACUAUGGAAUCUAGCGUUUUUAAGAGUUGAGGCUGUCCUGCAAGCCAAGAACCACUGACAGCGUGGCACAGAUUGACACAGACCACAGCGCGGGAUUCACAGGGAGUACCACCCUCAGCUGAGGAGCUGAAAUAUACUUCCCUCUCCACAGGCAAUGGCCAAUGCCUUCCGAAACCCCUGAGUGCUUCCAGAAUGGCGGUCAAUGUAUAUUUUCUUGCACAAUAGGGCAAAUCCCUGUUGGUUCCUGUUACAGUGGAAGAAAAAUGCAAGCCAGGGCCUGUGACGGGCUGAAGAUCACCCGAGCACAGGGAGCCAGAGAAUGAAAUAGAACACUCACUUUAGCUCUAAAGAUUCUACUGUGCUACCUCUUGAAAAUAAAUAAAUGAGCAGGUGCUGGAUUUAGGAAUGGCGAUUACGACGCAGAAGAGUAUUUGGGAGAGACACAUGUCUAGACGCAGAGAAGGAAGGAAUACUGUGUGUGCAUGAGGAGUAACCUCAGGUUACUUCUCUGAGUCCCGGAGGCUGGAAGUCUGACAUCCGGUUAUCGGCAGGGUUGAUUUGGUUCCUAGAUGGCCGUCUUCUUCCUGCAUCUUUGUGUGUUCAUCCCUUUGUGCAUGUGUGUGUCAGUAUCCAAAUUUCCUUUUCUUAUAAGGACACCAGUCCUACUGAAUCGGGGCCACGUUAACGGCCUCAUUUUAACUUAAUUACCUAUGCACAGACCCUACUUCCAAAUACGGUUACAUUCUGAGGCACUGGGAGUUAGGACUUCCACUUAGGAAUUCGGGUGCACACAAUUCAGCCCUUCCCACGAGGCUUAUCCCUGCAUCUGCAGUUAGCUUCCAGGUCCAUUGUGGGCUGGCUGCUACCAAGGCAAUGCGAAUUGUAGAGCCAUGUGCAAGGUGUCCUGAGGCCUACGUUCAUAACUGGCCCCUUCUGCUGCUUUUAUUGGUCAAAGCAAGUCAAAAGGCCAAUUAGAUUCCUGAGCUGGGGAAACAGACACUACUAGCAGAUGGGAAGAGCUGCAGAGUCAGAUCACAAAGGGUCUGAUUCAGAGGGGGAUUCAGGGCCACAAUGGUGGCCCGCCUCGCUAUCAACCACAAAGAGUAUCCAGGUUCCUUCUGCCUUACGUGCUUUAUGUGUGUGUGAGGGGCUUAACGUAGCUCAGUGUGCCUUGGAAGACCCCGAACACUGUCUUUCAGGCAGAAGAUUCUCUGACAAAAAUCCAUACGGAUCAAAGAUGUGCUUCAGAGCCCGAUCCCAAGAGUUUGAUCAAGCACAGCCCAGGAGCUCUGAUGCCAGUGAAGUAUUAGUUUUAAAAUGUCAUGCAUGACUAGUCGUUGAGGGGAAAAUAAGAAUUUCUGGACUUCUUUAUACUUUUCCAUUUAUAUUGCAUUGAUUAUUGGUUACAGAGAGGGACAGGGACCGAAAAUAUUUUCUGUUUCAAAGGCACCUAAUGGUUUUCAUCUCGACUUUGCCCAUUCCUAGUGACCUGAAAGUCACUUGAGGUGAUUGUGUAUCUAGGGG
ensembl:lncRNA